rnacentral:lncRNA from 1 species
CGAAAGGGUUUCUCAUCUCCUGUCUCCUCGUUUUCCUUUGUAAAUGCUUUCAGACCAAUAACACCCGCAGUCCCUCUUCUUCCUCUUUGACCCGCCCAACACAGGGCAAGAGAGAAGAAGCAAGAGGAAUCCAAUUAAUCAUUACAACCUUCUUUUCUCUUCUAUUCUCUUCUUUUCUAGAGAGACAAGGGAGAGAGAAACCAGCUCUUAUCCUAUCCAUGGAAUCCUCAUCUUCUUCAGCUUCCAGCGAUGGCCUUAACCUCAAAGAAGGGUCAAUCGUUGACCCUUUCUUGGUCGAGGCUCUCCAGAAUCCUCGUCACCGACUCACCAGUAAGUUUUUUUUUGUUUGAUUUUAUCUAAUUUUUUAUUAUCUCUUGUUCUAAACCCUAGUUUAGUGUUGGAUUUGAUUUUGCGUGUAUGGGUCUUUCUUUUGCUUUAUUUGUGUGUUAAAUUUUAAUAAUUUUGGAUUUCCGAUUUCGAAGUUUAUGGGUCUAAGGGCUUAUCUUUUUUGUUUAAUUGUAAGUGGUUUUGGUUGAAUUUGUUGGAUUUGAAUCUGGGUUUAUUGUUAUCUUAGAUCUGGGUUUCUUAUUGGUACCGCAUGAUAUGAUGUUGAAUGUUUUCUAUUCAUGCUGAAUUCUUUUUGUGUGUAAUUUUGGACGGAUCUGUUAUCGAUUCAUUUAUCCUCCCAAAACAUGUUUAUGAAUGAAUAUGAAAUUGGCCAAUUAUCUCUUAAUUGUUUCUUAUCUUGUCAAACCUUGAUAUGGUUAAAUCAAAUCCCAGAGUAAGCAACAUUUAAUCUAUACGAUUAACCUUGUCGUCGAUUGUCCCCCUACGCGUGCUCUUUUAUGCAUUUGUGUCCUAGUUUUUGGCGACGGUUUCUUUGAAUAGUUUGAUAUUUUACUUUUCUAAUUAGCCGGAUGUCUCUUCUUUUCAGUUUUGCGAAUGGAACUUGAUAUCCAGAGGUUUCUGAAAAGUCCUGAUCAGCAGCUGUUCGAGUUCCAACAUUUCCCUACAUCCUACCUUCGACUUGCUGCACAUCGUGUUUCUCAACACUAUGGCUUGCAGACUAUGGUUCAGGAUUGGGGCUCAGAUGGUCAAGGGAAUAGGAUUUUGGUGAGGAAAACAGCAGAAAGCAAAUACCCAGCAAUUCAGUUAUCCGAAAUACCGGCUAAGCAGUCAGAAAACAAUAGACAUGAGCAGAUUAAAAUUGUCAUCAAGCCCAGGUCUGAUAAAAAUAAUAUGAAUGGAGCUAAUGGAGCUGGGAUCAAACGAAGUCCUGUGAGAAGUGUGGAAGAGAGGAAGGAGGAGUACGAUCGGGCACGGGCUCGCAUCUUUAGCAGCACUAGCAGUUCUGAUUCUGAUGAUACGCCUUUUCAGUCUCUUACGGAUGUGAAAAAUGCAUUUUUGAGCAGGGAUGAGAAUGAAAGUUUUAGGAACUCUGUGGUUGAUUCAGAAAAGAAUUUAAACGUAAAGGAUCUUGGUUCUUCAUAUCGAGUUGCCAUUUUUAGAGAUAGGGAAAAAGAUCGUACUGACCCAGAUUAUGAUCGAAGUUAUGAAAGGUAGGUGUCUAUCUAUUAUAUCAAAGAAUUUGAGAGAACUUUGAAGAUCUCUCAACCUAAUAAGGACACUACAAUCUUUGCACUGCUAUACCAUGUGUGCUUUCUAUUACCUCUAUUUCUUGAAACGCUUGAAAACUUUGAUCUGGUCACCACCAGCUAUCCUACUUUUACAUAUGUUUUCAUAUCUUGUGAUCAUGGAACUCUUUGUUUUAAUAUUAAGACAUAUAAACAUACUAGAUUUGCAUUCUGAGCACAGUAAUAUAUACAAUUUUGUGUUGGAAAUCAAAUAAAUAAAUUAUUAACUGAAAAUGUUUAAUUACACUACUGAUACAGGUAUGUCAGGAGUCUUCCUACCAAUCAAGGAUUUAACUUGGCACCUUUCAAUAUGCAAAAGGUUCAACCGCAGUUUUUGCAGUACGAUGCUGUUUUCUCUCAGAUGCCUAGGCAUCAAGCUUCAAUUAGUUAUGGGCCUCCUUCAACCCCAGCUAUGAGCCCUUUUUGUGCUGUGGGAUUCAAUCAGACAUCUAGAGAUGCUACGUACAUGCAGUGGCCAAGUGCUUCAAUGAUGUAUGCACAUUCGUAUGAUCAGUUUAGGCAAGCUGUUAUCCAGGUAACCAAAACUUAAUACAGAAAAUGGUUUGUUUGGAAGAAAUUACAGAUAGCUUUAAUGUUAAGUUUUUGAAGUUGUGUUGCCACUUUAAACUUGCAUGUUUUCAAAUAGCUCCUCUUUUCCAUGGUUCUUAUAUUACUUCAAUUUUUUUCCGCGUCUUUCAGUUUACUUGAUGCUAGAACUAAUAUCCCUCUAGGUGGGGUCACUUCUCUUUAAAAUGUAUUUGUUAAUUAGUGCACAAAACUGAAGUGUUUUGAAGUUUCAAGAAUCGGUAGGAAUUUUGACAGUUCACCUCAGGAAAAUGUGUGACAGAAACGUUGGUGUACAAAGGCUCAACCUCAUGCCUUUGAACUUGGUGUACACUUUUGGCUGUUGUAUCGUUGAAUAUUAAUCUAUAGAUAUAGAGAAAUGAAGGAUGGUGGGAGACGUGUAGAAGAAAUGGAAAAGGAAACGCAUGCUAAAAAAAACAAUUUAAAAGUCGUUUUCACAUCUAAGAUUUUGUUUCCAUUUAUUCAUUCUUUAUUUCUUUCCCUCUCUACCAUCACCCUGUGUCAUCCCACAUUUCUCCCAUAUACAUUCUUCAUAUCUGCAGCACAAAAAAGUGAUUAAUCAGGCCCUUAAUUUGGGCUAUAAAGCAUUUAGUGGAAUACUACCUGUGCGUGUAUGUCUGCUGUGCUUAUCUUGUUUUUGCUACUGAAUGUACGUAUGCUUUUACUGGUCUCUUUGCAGGCUCCAUUCUGUCACCAACCCCUGAGCUUUCAUUCACAAAACCAUUAAUCCACGUUUAGGCGGGGAUUUUACAACGGAGAUGCAAGCAGAAUUCUUUGUUCUUCUAGGAUUAAAACAGAGUUAGGUCAUUGUAUUGAGACUUGGUGCCGCACAAGCUUUUUCCCUCCCGUUGUAGUUUGUGGUGGUGUCUGCUAUUUUUGAUCUUUUAUAUAGCCGAGGACUCUAUUGUAUUGUAAUGACUCUUUAUUCGACUAUUGCCUAGCAACAUUAUACUUUUCAUUUGGUGGGUCCUACUCUUUGUGAUAACUCUUGAUGUGUUCUUAUGUUAUUUGCAUUGAGGUGUUCAGUUUGUUUUACGAGCUCCAGUUGGCUCUUAUGUUGCUUCUCAUAUGAGUUGAGCUCGAGCCUCAGGACAUGCCGAUUGCGUUUUCAGCGUGUUCGGUUCUUCAAUGAAAUUUGCAAUUUGAUGCCCAUUUUGAUGUAAAUUUCGGUGAAAUAAAGGUCAAGUUUCAGCUGUUGUAAAUUUUUUGGUUUAGGAAUCCAUAAUGGGAGAGUUUGGACUCGCUUUUGAUUGAGGCUCGCUAGGACUCUUCCUUACUACAAUCACUGUCUGACAGUCCAAUAUAAUUCAUGAAUAUAAAUAAUUACUAUUUGACCGUUGAAAUGGUGAUUAUAUUAAAUACAUAUAAGUAUUUUUGUUAAAUCUCAAAAAUAGAUUCACGAAGUUUUAAGUGUUGAACUUGUGGGUCUCAGAAAUUGCACACAAUUAGAUAGAAAUAACUAAGAAACAAAUUCACCUUGAUUUAAAUAAAAUAUUAAUACAUAACUACUUAAACUUUUAAGGUGAUUUAAAAUUGGUCUAAACUUUUUAAUAUAUUUCAAAUAACUACAUAAUGUUUUGGAAAUAAUCAAUUGUUAGGUAACUAGCAUUAAGUGAUGAUGUCACUAUGUCACUACCAUUAAUUAAUGACCUAACACUCCUGCAAAUCAUCACUUAACACUAGUGACCUAAUGAAUGUCUAGUUUUAAAACGUUAAGUAGUUAUUUAGAAUGUUUUAAAAGAUUGAGACCAAUUUAAAAUUACUCAUAAAAGUUGAGUAGUUAUCUCCCUCAAAACUAGGGUUGAAAUAGCUUAUUCAUACUUCCAUCUCAAAAUCUUUGCACCUAUUUCUACAUCACUCCCAUCUCUAGAUAUCUCCUCAUCUCCCAUCUCAACAUCAAACUCAAGCAAUGGAUUUGUAAAUGUCCCAAACCCGUUUCCUUUUCAUCUUCCCUUUUAUUGAACUAUUCGAUGGUUCAUCGCAGUGUCAUUGUUCAACUGUCGAUAUGUCAUAUUUCUAGUCGUGCACGUCAUUGCGUGCUUUAUAACGGGUCAGUUCGACCCACUUGUACAAAGUCUCAUUAACUUAAUGCAAGGGAUCACAGAUAGGCCUAUAAAUAUGAGGCUCCAUAGCAAAUGAGUGACCCUUUAACUACAAUACAAAUGAAGGAGCGACUUUUUAGAUACAAUACAAACCUAGAAGACUCGUAAAUUUUCUGCAUUGUUCAACACUCUCGAGACGAGCCACAAAAGACAUAACCAAAGUGCCAACUCCUUCACCACCCAAAUCAAACCUCUAUAAUUCUUGGAUUAAACUCACACUUUGUUAUUUUCAAACACCUUUGGAAAUCAAAUUAAAAGAUCAAUUCCUGUAAAUAAUUUACUCAAAAGAUUGUAAACGUAAACAUUCAUUUAGUGGAAUUUAUUAUUUUGUGGUCAAGCCGUAUAAAUGGUUCAUGUGGUCAUAAUGUAUUCGGAAGAUAACUCAUUUCUUAAAAAAACUCGAAUUUAAACUCAUGUGGUGUACUCUGUGAGUAAAUUUAAUCCAAAAGUAAAUUUUCCGUAUUUAUGGGUAAAAUUGUAAUCUGAUGUGUACACCUUCUUCUGCCUGCAUCUCCCUACGCAACCCCAAACUCAGUUCGCGCGCAAGAGAAAAUGGAGAGACCAUUUUCAGUUUUCCACAGAGCUACCACCGCAACCAUGGUGCCACCGUGUCUCCAUGGGCCAAACCGGGCGCCUAGGCCCUCGCCGUCGGUUGGUCGUUGCUGGCUACCGCUUAGAAGAAGAAAGUGAACGCGGAAAAGAAAAGUCUCAGUGGAGGGGAAAACGAAACAGAGAUACACACCAUACCAUCGAAUAAUCGGAUUCGAUCUUAGAGAAACCAAAGAGAGAGAGAAUUCAAAUCAGCGAGAAAAAGGAACGGGAAAAAAAAAAUGAACAAAGUCAAGAGCUUGUUGAAGCCGAAACCUAACCCUUCGGAGCAACUCAGAGAACGGCAGCGGCGCCUCCGCCAUGAGUGCCGCAACAUGGAGCGCCAAAUCAGAGGCAAAAGCUUCCUCCUUUCUUAAUUUUUUUUCUUCUCGUUUUCAAAUUAUAUGUAAUUUUGCGUUUUGGGUUCAAUUUAUUUGGUGCAGAGUUCUUUUAUUUUGUUCUUAAUUCUUAUCAAUAAUUUGAAUUUUUGGGCUGAGAUGGGUUUGUGUGUAACUGUUGAUUAAUUAUAGUCUAAAAAGAAAGAUGGGGUUUUUGUUUCAUAGAUAUACAGAGAGAAGAGAAGGCCCAGGCGCCGGGUUCGGCUUCCUGCUCCUCGGCGGCGAGGGCCCAGGUGCCGGGUUUGGCCCACGGAGACACGGUGGCCGUCAUGGUUGCGGUGGUAGCUCAGCUGAAAAUAGUCUCUCUUUUUCUCUUGCAUAGGGGAGAUGCAGGAAGAAAAAGGUGCACGUCAAAGUAUAAUUUUACCAUGUAUUAACCGAUAGAUAACAAAAAAAAUCAUUUUUUUGACUAAAUUUGGUAACGGAGUACACCAUAUAGAUUUAAAUCCGAGUUUUUUUAACACAUAGAUUAUCUUUCGAAUAUCUUAUGACAACAUGAAUCAUUUAUCCGAUUUGACCUUAUUUUGUAGACGUGCUAUUGUUUCAUUCGAACAAGAACGUUUGAAUUUACAACCAAAUUUAAAUAAUAGAAUGUAUAAAACAUAAACGAUAGAACACAAUACUUGAAGACAGUCAAAUAUAAAUAUAAACGUCCCUUUUGUCUUUCUUUGACGUUGGAACACAAUGUCUCAAUUCUUUUUUUUCUUUUUUAACAAAUGAUAUUAUCUGCCACUAAUACUACGGUCUAGUGGUAUUCCUCUUCACUUGUAAGUGCGAGAUCUUAGGUUCCAUUCUCACCAAAGGUGAAUUUGAACCACAUUAUUUCGAGCCCAUUGUGAGGUUUAGUCUACCCCCACCCCUUUAGUGUAAAUAAUAUCGUGUGUUCAAAAAAAAAAAAACCAACAAAACAAAUGAUAUUAUCUACACUAGGAGGUGGGAGAGUGAUCUUUGACGAUAAUUGAACUUAAGACCUCUCACUUACUAGUAUAAUGGAAUAUCACUAGACUGUAGUACUACACCCCGAAGGUGUUACCUUUGAGUAUACCUAUGAUCCUCUAUACAUUUUUGGCAUAAUAAGACCUUUGAAGAGGUUAUGGGAUUCGAAGUUUCAUAUCUGAGUUCAACUUUGCGCUUUGUUGUACUUAGCUCAUUGAGUUAGAUAGAACAUCUCCUUCGUUGUUGAUAUAUUGGUAAAUAUGCAGCAUCAUGCCUACAUGCAACUAGUGAAUUGGUAUUGAAGACGUUUUUCCGCUACCCUGAAAGGUACUACAGAUUUGGGCUAAUCCUAACGUAUCCUUAAAGGAUUCGAACCCCUUGAUCCUCAAAAUGAUGAUUGCCUUGUUUGUUAUGUUAAUGCUUGUUACUUAUCAAACCUGCACAAGGCACAUCCCUAAAUGGUUAUGUCUUUACCAUUAGGGAUAUUGCAAUAUAUUGGAGGUCUAUGAUAUGACCUUAGUUGCAAAAUCUUUGAAUCUUUCGAAGCACUUGUUGUUCAUCUAUCGUUGAGUCCCAACAACGAUCCGUGUAAACUAUGCCACAUGUAUCCACUCGACUAAGACAUGAUACAUCAACAAAAUCAACGCCAAGACAUAUUUUGUCUAUGUCACAUCAGCAAAGCAUCAGAAGAUUGAAGUCAUGCAAGCUGACCCCAUAUAACCUUGCCGACCUCCACACGACGUCACUGCCGAAGUCAACCUUCCAGAAACUUGUCCGAGGAAUUAGUAUGCCUAACUAUUCAUAUGCAAUGCUUGUAGUUCUCAUCUGGAAGUUUUGUCAAACUCAGAAGGAGUAUCCAAAAGUAUACUUACUUGAUCUUGAUGUGAAAUUUAACUAGCAUACAAAUUAAACCCUAUUAAGAUAGUUGUAGUAAGGAUAAGUAGGGAUCGUUCUAGACCGGGGAUUAACUAAGGAUGCUAAUCAACACAAAUAAGACUCAAAAACACUAAACUAGACUCAGGAACACAAAACUAGACUCUUAUGACUUAAAAAUGACUCAAACUACUCAAAACAAUACAAUACUAGCAAAUAGACUCAAAACAAACUCUAAGGAGUUAUUUGGACGAAUUUAAGACUAGUAAGACUCAAAACACUCAAUUGGACAGAUUUAAACACUUUUCUAACUAAUCUAACACACUUAAUUAAAGGGGGAUUAAUUUGGACGAAAUUUAACUAAACUAAACAGAUUGCAAACCAAAGUAAACUAGAUAUGAAAUUGGGUGAUUUGAAUGGUAAAAACUUAGCCAGAGAAUCCUUCUCCACCCAUGAAACAUAUUCAACAUAAAUCGAUUUCCAGUAUUGUUUCUUUAAACCAUGAAUAACAAUGCCCCAAAUUAAUUGUGAAUGCACUAAUUAACUUUCAGAUUUCUCUAAAUUCAUUGAAUUGAAUGGACAGCGCACCACAACAAAGUAUUCUUCUCAAGUCCCUAUAUAAACAGCAUAAUAGAUAUACAUAUCAAAGAUCAUUAAGUUCUAUGAAAUCAUAAGCAUUGUCAAGGCAAUCGUAACUAUGAACUGCAUUAUACUCUUGCCAAGAAUUUACUUAACAUGAUUGUAACUAGCAAUCUCCACUACUUUUAAUUAUAAGGUUAUAACGAUUAGGUGAAAUUCCCUUAUAAUCUAGCAUUAAAUCCCUGCAUGCAAACUAAGUAUGCAUCCUCAAUCAACACACAAGAAUAAGUUCUCAAUACGCAGAUAAGUAAAUCACAUUCAUGUUUUACGAAACCUUAACUGAAAGUAAACAAUUCAUAUUAAACAUAUGUCCAUGGCUUCGAAUUCACCUCUAACUAAAAGGAAUUUAGUUCCUCAUGUUCAUAAUAAUUAAAAAGCAAAGUAAAAUAAACAUGGCAACGAAACGAGGGAAGAAGGAACUCUUAAAACUCCAAUGGUUGCAGGUGGCUUGCGGCACAAGGUCCUCUUCCUCCAAUGGAAGCCACAACAAAGCUUCUUCUUCUCCAAGGUUGUGGCUGAAUGUGUUUAUGUGAUGUAGAAUGAAUUGUGCGAAAUAUAUGAGGGGUGGUGCUAUGAAUUGUGCGGCAUAAUGAUUUAUUUAUAUGCUAGGGUUUUCACAAAUUCUGAAGGGAAAAGGCUUAGGGUUUAUGGCACCAAAUUCUUGGAUGACAAGGAUAAAGCUCGGCCCAAUCCAAGGGGGAAAAGAACUAGGGUUUGUGCAGAUUUUAGGGCUUCUAGAAGGACAAGGAUGCGGCAUAUGUUAGGGACAGGGAUACGCCUUCUAGAAGGGUAUUUGUGUAGGUUUCUAGAAGGAACAAGGAUAAAACAUGUGGCACCUUUAUAGGAACAUGUUGUGGCUUCUAGAACCAAGUAUUUAGGUCCCCUUGCAGCUGAUUACUCAUCUUCCAAGUCUUGAAUUAAUUUCUCCAUCUCUUUAGCACAUUCCUCGCUUCAUUUGAUCUUCAAAAAAAUCCAUUCCUUUUGCUCCACAUGCAUGUUAUCCAUUUCAACCCAAAAGUGCUCUAAAAUGCACCAAAAUACACUUUCUUGCCACUUUUGCCAUUUGACCCUACAAACACACAAAAAUAGGAUAAAGUACUAAAAUAACUAGGAACUAAUAACAUAAAUGCAAGAAAACAAGCUAACUAAGUCGCAUAAAUAUGCUCCUAUCAGAUCUUAAUGUACUUUUUUCCCUACGAUUAGGAGCAUUUUUCCUACUGAGUUUUUGCUACCUAACUAGGUCUUGACGAGGCACCCAUCCUGGGCUAAUGAUACCCUUAUGAGCUCUUCUACUUGCGUCCAGAAGAUGUUUAGUUUUGACCUAAUACAACUUCUCACGUUUCUACUUAGUCUAUGGGUUUUUCUCCCACCUUGGGUUUUACCAUAGCGAGGUUUUGUGAGUUUUACCUUUUAUGCAUUCUUUUGUUGAUUUGAGACUCACAUUUGCUCAUUAUGCCGACGACUUCAUCAACUGUAUUUACUUCAUCGAUGAAGAACUGAUGCGCCAUUUUCUUGAGUAUUUACACCCUCAAGGAGGAGUGUUGCAGUCCUAUUAGAUUAGGAAGUGAUCAUGUAAAUCCUAUCAUAUCUGGAAUAUCCCUUAGACUAGAUAUUAUCCUAUUAAAGUUGUAAUCCUAUUGUGGUAAGGAAUUUUCCUUCCCUACUACUACUAUAAAUAAAAGCACAAUAGGGUGAGAUAACACACACCUCAAAAUGGCACAUCUCUCUCUUUCUCUCUAUGCCACCGCACGCCCUCUCUCUUUAUCCUUUAUAUUGUUUAGUAAAUGAGGCCUAUAACAAAAGAGUCAUAUUUCUACACAUUAAACAUUUGCCCAUAUAUGUUUUGUCAUCUCCUCUCCUCUUUUUGAAAAUUUGACAAGUUUUUAAAUCCUUUACAUGGCAGGAAAUAUGAGAAAUUCAUAACAUAUGAUAUGCCCAUAAUGCAAUUGACAACAACUAGCAUUUGGCAAGACAUAAGAAGGUUGCUUUUUUUGCUCGGAUUGAAUAAUAAUAAUAAUUCAACCAUGUGGGCUGCCUAUACUCAAACAAAAUACAUCUCAUAUUUUCACUAAUGUUUUAUUUUGUGGGUUAUUGUCACGUCCCAAACCCGGGGUCGGUAAUAAAAACUCGAACCCGAAUCCAAAACGUGAGUUAAAAGCUCAAUAAAUAAAAGGAAAUUGACAUGGUUUGAAAAAAAUGAACUUCUCUUAUUAAAAUAAUUCAUGAUUCUUAAACAAAUCAAGAAUUCUUUACAACAUAUAGUAAAUAAAUGAAUAAACUUUCUCUACUCCCAUCUAAUCCAAUCUCAUCCUGCCUACCCUCUUGAAUGUCUAGUUCGUAAACCUGCAUAACAAUAGAGGGAUGAGCUUUAACAGCUCAGUAGGGACAUAACCUUAUCACAGUAAAUUGACAAUAUUAAAUUAAGUGUCAUGAAAUCAUAUAGUCAAAUAUCAAAUCAUUAUUGAUAAUAAUGCAUGAAUGCAAUGCAACCUCUUCAACUACCCCCGUUAUUUAUAUAAUAAAACACGAGGACCUGCACGUCCCAUACCAUACAUUUUACCCCUGCAGCGGUGGUUCGAAUAUUCUAUUAUAGAAACUAACCCCUAUAUGAUAUCCCAAGUUCAUAAACCCCUUUUACUAGUCAUCUUAUCUAAUUCAUUGAUCUCCAGCCCAAAUCACCCACAUCAACAAUUCUCGUCGAUAUCCUAUUCUACUGUGCACAUCGGGCUAGCCAGGAACUGGUUUCAUAAUGAAUAGAUUCAACUACACAAAAGAUCCUUUCCAACUACCCUCAUUUCCAUACUUCCAAUCUGAAUACUGAAAUUCCCAACACAUCAACAUGAAUGAUGCAUAAAUAAUAUCAAUUUAUCUUCCACAUGUAUCAUAGUAUAUUCCUAACGAAUAGCAUUCCAGCAAUAAUUCCAUAUCCAAUAACAAGUAAACAUUUAACUUAAGCAAUUAGCCAAUUAAUAUUCAAUCACAUUAAUCAACCAAAAAGAUCAAGAAUAUUAUAGCAAUUCACGAAAUUUAAUAAAAUUAAUUUCCGUAAAGGUCUUCCUUAUUUCCCCUACCUAGAUUCCAAAGCUAAAGCAAAGAUCCACCUCACUACCGAAUAGCUAAGCUUCACGUACUUAUCCAUAUCACUACCGAAAAUAGUUAAGUUCCACGUACUUGAGGAAACUCCCUGAUCGCUCUACUUUCUUUUAUUUUCUAAUCUCUCUAUAUGUAUGUGCGUAGGUAUGCAUACACGUAUGUGCGUAGGUAUGCAUACAAAUAUAUGCAUACAUAUAUAUCAUAUAGUAUGUGUACGAACAUAUCGUUAUAAAUAUAUAUAGACACUUAUAUAUAUAUAUAUACACACACAUACACACGUGAGUUGCAGAGCAUGCAUUGCAUGCUAGCUCUCCCUCGAAAACAAAUGGAGACGAUCUCCUAUUUAUACCAUAAAUAAGGUGGCAAACUAGUUGUUCUCAUUGGUUUACAAGUUUCUCUACAAUCAACUCCACUUGCUAUUACACCAUUCCACGUUAGCUAUAGGCUUCAUUAGUCAUCAACAUAGCCUUCAAUAAUCAUCACUCUAAAGUGCUUACUAAGCACUCUAAAAACACCAAGUGAUAACACCUAAGCUACAGACUUUCCACCAAACAUACUAAUAAUAGGAUUAGUGUCCUUAGGUAGGCAUGGUGAGUAAACACCACGUGGCAAACUUGGCCACUCAAUGAAUGCCAUUUGUCCUCAAUUUCCUAGUCCAAUUGUAAAUUUUGGAAUCAUAGAGAGUCUGAAAUGUAUUUCAAAAAUACCAUGAGCUUAUAAUAAUUCCUACUAUCUUCAUAUAAAGACCUUUUCGAUAAAUAGUUUCCAAAUAAUUCUCUAAUUUGGUAAUAAAUUCUUGGGAUCUCACAAUCCACCCUCCUUGAAAUAAAUCUCGUCCUCAAGAUUUACUUUAAACACUCAAUUACUUGACAAGUCCAAUGUUUUCACCUUUGAUCGGACUCUAAUUUCCAUGUCAAUCCAUAGUUGCGUGUACAAUAACAAUUCAUCUAAUUCUCCAAGUCAAAUUCAAAAUCUUAAGCGACUAGUUUCUUGUGUUCAUAUCUAGUACUUAGUCGAACACACAUAAACUUCCAAGAAAAGAAAAUUGUAGGUACCUUUGCACAAUUUUCUUAGCAUGCUAUUUAUCGUAUUUCUUAUUCCACAAAUCAAUGGACAUUUCACUGUAGAGUAUCAAAGAUCUGGUGGCCAGUCGGUCCCUUAACUCGAGCAAAUGACAAUAAUUACAUGAAUAAGAAAAGAAACAAAUAGCUAAUACUUUCCGGUCAUUAUACCGCAAGUGCAUUCACUGAAUAGUGAACUACUCAACAAACGUAGAUGAGUAUCUAAAUGUCGGAUUCUCAUCCCCGAAUUGUUUCUUCGGCUUCAUAGCUUAUUGAACUCGUACACUGACCUUGAUGGGAAUUGCAACUUCAAAUUCCUCAUGGCAUUUUUCUAGUAGUACCUUACCUUUAAGGUAAUAAGAAGAUCCAAUCUUCCAUCAUUUUGUAAAGAUUCCUACUCGCUAAUUUUGUCCUCAAAUUUUACCUAACACAUCAAACAUGUGCAAAUAUUUCCUUCGCAUGUCAAACUCUAGUUCUCAUGUGGUUUCUUCAGUUCCGUAGUAUUGCCAUCUCAUCUUCACAGGAGGUACUUACCAAUUCCUAAGCAUUUUCCGUUAAACUAUACAAAUCGAUCCUUUUUCAUAUGACACAUUAUGUAUAAAGGAUCAUUUUGACUGCACCUUCAACACUACACUUGUGCGUUAAUCUCCACACUUAGGUCAUGGAUUGAAACUCCAAAACAUGUAUACUCCAAGUAUUUCUCUUGACUGUAAAAUAUCAUCAAGCUCAUGCUACCACAAAAAUACAUCUUAUAACUUCAACUCUAACCUCAUAAUAUUUCCCUCCAGAAGUCAAAUUUGACAAUUCAGCUUAUUAAUCCUUCAUUGAUAACUCUUCUUCCCUUGAAACUUAGAAACAUUCCAUUAUCAUUCCUUUAAGAAAUUUCACCAAUUGCAUUGUCAACUCUCCAAUAUGCAAUAUUCACUUUGUAUCAAAACACCAUUUAAAAUCCUUGUCCCACAAGUCUAUCACAAUACUAUUGUCCACUAAUGUCUUCCAAAAAUUAUGUCUUCAAUCUCAAUUUGUCAGAUCUCAUCUCAAACAUCCUAAAAGCAGUUCAACUUAAAGUGAAUACUCAUCCAAGUAUUUCUAUAAAUUCGUACAUGCAUUACUUAUAUCUCCAAAUCCAAAAUAAUUAAAUCCUCUUUGAAGAGUCACCACUAAAUCACAUGAUGAGAAACUAAAAUUUUACAGCAACCUAUCACUUUAUAAUGUCAAUCUGAAACUAAUUUCAUGAUUCUACUAAACAACCAAUAUGUCAAAUUAUCUGACUAUUCUAAUCCUCUAUUAACCAAUAACUUCAACCGUGUAUUAGUUUAUCAAGGACUAAAAUCUUACAUUCUCCAAUAACUUCAUCUUAUUUACUACUUCUACUACAAGACUAAAUUCCACGUUAACAUCCGUAAAUUUAUUUCUUGAACCUACAAAUCCAACACUCCGUAGAGAUAAUUCAUGGUACUAGAGUUCUUCAAUUUGAGUCGGUAAUACACAGACGUCAUAUAUAUUCAUGCCUAAGGAACUAGAUCAUUGAUUCAUGACUCACCAGUAAUAUUCAUUAAACCUUAAAGAUAUCUGUGUACAAGACACUCUUAGCUCCAAUGAUUACUUCCCUUAGUCAUAUAAACUUAUACAUAUCAAUCACUACUUAGCUUCCAAAACAAAGAGAGAAUAAGUACUAUGCAUCAUAAGCCCUUUGUUUUGUAUUCCAAUUAUUGAUAACCUUAUGCAUACUAAUUAUAAAAUCAUCUCCAAAAAUUCAAUGACUUUAAUACAUGUCAAGCAAAUAAGAAUUCUCUAAUAGUCUUAUUUUCACCAUAUAUAAUUCAUAUACCUAACUAAUCUUAAAAACCUUGUCAAUUUGUUCCCAUUAUUUCCUUUGGUUCAGUAGUAAGCCUUAACUCCACUUUUCCUUCAAUUCAUAUCUUCUUCUUUUUUCUUCUGUUUGAAUUCUAACCACAAGACAAUUCCAACACAAUUCUCAUUCCGGUAACUACAUUCCAGUCAAGUAGUGGUCCACCUCCAAAUUUAAAUAGGCCAAUCUCUUAUUCAAUCCUAUGAAAUUUCAAGUCACUAAAUUAUGCCACUCCCACCUUCCCCUUCUCUAUUGUCUUUCACUCUUUCUUUAUACAUCUAUCACCAAGAGUGUAUACUUGUGGUUUUAAAAUCCUCAGCUCCUCAAUUCUUUUUUCUUCUUAAAAUUAACAUAAGCUUAUCCUCUAAAAAUUACUCUCCUUCCGUACAAACGAUAUUAUUAAUAUAGUUGCUCUUUUCUCCAACUUAAUUUGAUAUCCAAACUCGCCAUAUCUUCCUCAAACUAGCUAACAAACAACCAAAGUUCAUCCCUCAUCUUAGAGCAUCUUUCAUCAUCUCUACUAUUUAUUCAAGCCUAAUUUAUCAUUAUACAAAGUCUCAACAACAUAUUUAUACAUUUCCUUUGAAUUCUUCAACACUGAAACAUGUAGAAUGCCUUCUGCAUCAAUAUAGGUUCUCUCAAACUCUUCUGACUAGAAUAUAAAUACCCAAGUCCUCAUAUUGAAGCACUAAUUUUCCUUCAUAAUUAUGAUUCUCUGUAUAUAACAAUAAUUUUGCAAGUGAUUCUCUAAAAUCGUGAACCAACACUGAAUUCAAGCCUAACUCCUCGAGCUCAUAUUUGUCACAUCCCGGCCAGGGUCCACCACAUCCCAAGCCCGUUCCAUCACUGUAGCAUGAUAUUAUCCACUUUGGGCUUACCAUUCCCUCACGGUUUUGUUUUUGAGAACUCAUGAGCAACUUCCCAGUGGGUCACCCAUCCUGAGAGUGCUCUAGCCUCCUUCUUGCUUAACUUCGGAGUUCGGACGGAACCCGAAGUCAUUGAGCUCCCAAAAAGCCUCGUGCUAGGUAGAGGUAGGGAUGAGAAUAUACAUUUAAGGAUCACUCCCCUGGGCGAUGUAGGAUGUUACAAUCUAACACACCCCGACCGAGGUCAAGGCAUACUGGCCGUCACGUGAGAGUGACAUAGCCAUGUACACAGUGUAGAAGCGAUAAAGAUAGCAAAUAUACGAAUAAUUGAAAACCACAUUUCUAGAGUGCACUACUAACAGGAAGUGACAGGAGUUAGUUACAACCGUAAACACUCCUAAUCAGAGCAUAAUAAGUUUAAGUGCAGUCCAGUAAGACAAGUACUAGUUACACAGUACCAGGAAUGUCCUACUAUUAAUCAAUUAGUUCAGAACUGUUGACGAUCCCGAGCCACCAACAACAAGCUUACUUAGAACCUGGAGGGGCGCAAAACAGAAAACGUGAGUGGGCAAAAACAAAUGUUUUACAAAAUCAUUUCAUUUAUCGAUAUACUAAUCCCUCACUGUAAAACAUGUAUAAUUUUCCCAGAAUCAAGAUAUAAGCAUAUACAUAUAUAUAUCUGAAAUCAUAUCAAUUCAGUUCAUGCUUCACAUAAUCAUAUUCAUAUGUAUGCCAUGCCAAAAUAUAACAAAGUAAACAAUCCAGGUAAGAAUAAUUUCAUAGAAAUAUGAUAUGUUAGCCGGAACUCCUGUGGUAGUCUGUACGGCUGGAUUCAUAGCUCAAAUUCAAUCUAGCCGGAGUCAUUACUAUGACCUAUACGGCAAUAUAUUGCACAUAAGUCGGAACCACUGAAAAGGGGUAUGUACGACAAUAUCGAGUGAAAUAUAAUUAUGCUCAAUUCUAUUCUCUCAUAAUAGCCAGGCAAUAAAUCGCUAGUCACCUAUGAGUCGGAACCAUAAUUAAGGUCUAUACGACAAGACUGUGCACUUAAGUUGGAUCCAAUAUGAGCAUAUAGUGCGGGAGGUGACGUAAAUAAAUUGGCUUAUAAUUCUCAUCUCUGGCUAAAUCACAAUCACCCUAGGUGCAAUUUUAUGAGCUCAACAUUAUUUAAUCACAUAUCACAUCAUCGAUGAUUCACAUAACAAAACGUAACUCACCUGAACUUACCUAUGCCUUCACAGCAUCACAUAUAUAUAUAUAUAUAUAUAUAUAUAUAUAUAUAUGCCACCAGGAAUGCAUAUUCAAAAUAUAAAAGCAUUUGGCAUUUUAUUUUAAAGCAUACUUUCUUUAAAAUGCAUUUCUGGGAAAUAUAUCAAGUAUAUAAAUAUAUACUGAAAACAAAAGCCCACUCACUGGUAUGUCGACGGGUCGUAACCACCGAGUCACCCGUGGAUACGUUCAUCCUCGGGAUAAGUCUCACCUAUAUGCGAAUUAACUAUAAAAACGUUAUUUUAAAGCACAUUGACAAAACUAGCUAAUAACUUCUCAUACAUUGCUCAAAAUGGGUAUAUGAAUAUACCACAGUGAUCUACAUAACCUCAUGAUCAUCCUAUAUUUUUAGAAUUAUUUUUGGACCACACGCAACCAUGCGCCGGUAAGGGCACGGCAAAACGUGCCGGCAAGGGCAUGGUAAAACGCGCCCCCAUGGGCGGCUAAACCUGAUGGAUUCCCUAACCACCGUUAGGGAAUAUUCCGUUAAACCUAACAGAUUUCGUUAAAAUUGACUGAAGGCGUCAGCAUAUUCCGUCUAAACUAACGGAAUAUGCCAUCAUCUUCUCCGGCAAGUCGCCGGUUGUCGGAAAACAGGGUAAAACUUUAAAACCCUUGUUCUCACUCAUUUCUUCACCAAAACUUAAGAAAUUUAAACCAAAAUGAAGCUAAGGACAAGUAGAAACACGAUAUAACAAUUUGGGUCCUUGAAAUUCACGAGAACACGUCAGAAGUUACCUCGACUUUCCGGCCAAAUUUAAAACUUCUCGAUCUCCACUUUCUGACGUCCAAAAUCCUCAAACGAACUAUCCCUAGCCUCCUAGGGACCUCACAAAGCUUCUUAUAAGCUUCAAAUUCCAUAAAAAUAAGCCAUAAGUUUUUGCAUGAACAGUACCUCAUUCGAGGUUAGGGUUUUCAUGUGAUUUCGAAGUAAUUCUUACCUGUAAAUGGUAUGGAUGUGUUCAUCUGAGCUUUACGAACACAAUGGUGCCAUUUUCCACUUCGAUCUGUCGCGUUUGCAAAGGUUUUGGUUGACGUCCGUACGAGUUCGAAGGAGAGAGAGAUUGAGAGUCUGAGAGAGAUGAGAGGGUACGGGAGAGAGAAGAGAGGGAAUGUGUGUGUGGCCUAGGAUUGGUCAACCACCAAAAAGUACCAUAACUUAAUCCUAAUUGGUUCCAAACAAUUAGGAUUUAAGAAUAUUAACCCAAAGCUACACUUAAACCACAUUACACAACUACGUUCUAGGGUAUUUUCGUCAAUUCACGCCGUCGAUAAAUAUAUAUUUGGGAUGGGCUGUGACAAUCUCUCCACCUUAUAAAAUUUCGUCCUCGAAAUUAUACAUAACAAUUACAUCCACUAAUAAUCAUAAAACAAUCGUGGAUACAUCUCUCUCAUCCCAUCCUCUAUCUCCCAAGUAGCUUCUUCCACUGAAUGAUUUCUCCAUAACACUUUUACCAAAUGAACUGUCUUGUUCCUUAGUUUUUUAUCCUUCCAAUCCAACAAAGUCACUGGUUCCUCAUCAUAAGUCAAGUCCGAAUUAAUUUCCAAAGGUUGAGGAGGAAUCACAUGUGAAGGAUCUGAAACAUAAUGUCGAAGCAUUGAAAUACAUCGUGCGCCUUGGACAACUCUGGAGGCAACUGAAGCCUGUAAGCAACCUCACUGACUCGCUCGAUGAUCAUAUAUGGUCCAAUGUACCUAGGACUCAACUUUCCUUUCUUUCCAAAUCGUACAACACCUUUCCAAGGUGAUAGCUUCAGAAAUACCCAAUCGCCUACAUUAUACUUCCGAUCAGUAGCAUGCUUGUUUGCUAAGCUCUUUUGUCGAUCUUGGGCAGCUUUCAGGUUAGACUUAAUUACCUGAACAUUUUAAGUUGUCACAUCCACAAUCUCAGGGCCUACUAAAACUCUUUCGCCAACCUCUGACCAACAUAGAGGCGUACGACAAGAUUUUCCAUAAAGUGCCUCAAAUGGUGUCAUGCUAAUGCACGAAUGAUAACUGUUGUUGUAGGCGAACUCCAUCAAAUCCAAACAAUCAUGCCAACUAUCUCCAAACUGCAACACAGAAGAUCUCAACAUAUCCUCUAAUGUCUGAAUGGUCCUCUCAAAUUGUCCAUCUAUCUAAGGAUAAUAUGCCAUACUAUAAAGCAAUCUCGUACCAAGAGCUUCCUGGAAUGCUAUCUAGAACUUGGAAGUAAAUCUGGGAUCUCGAUCCGAGAUAAUAUUAAGUGGCACACCAUGGUACUUCACAAUCUGUGAUAUAAAUAACUUAGCUAAUCGGCUUAACGAAUACUUCUCCCUAACUGGAAUAAAAUGCGCUGACUUCGUAAGCCGAUCAACUACCACCUAAAUGUCAUCAUAACCAUUUUGUGUGCGAGGAAGCUUGUACACAAAAUCCAUAGUAAUAUUUUCCCAUUUCCACUGUGGAAUGGGAAGUGGCUGCAUCAAACCAAACGGCUUCUUUCUUUCAACUUUAACAUGUUUGCAAAUGGCACACCUACUCACAUAUUCGGCAAUUUCUCUUUUCAUACCUGGCCAAUAAUAAAAUGGUCUAAUCGUAUGAUACAUCUUAGUGCCUCCUGGAUGCAUCGCAUAUGCCGAAAUAUGUGCUUCAUCCAUAAUUUCUUUCUUUAACUCUGCAUUAUUCGGCACAUACAUUCUGCUUUCCUACAUAAGCAUACCAUCAGUAUCUCAAAUCUCAAAAUCUUUCUUUUUGCCUUGGUUCCUUGCUUGAAUUAUUUCCUGGGUCUCCUCAUCAAUCAUCUGAGCCUUAAGCACACGAUCAAUUAAAACUGGCCUAACUUGAAAAUUAGCAAGCAGGGUUUCUUCUCGAUCUUCCACUCCUAGGUCUACUCCAGUGGACCUCAAAUCUGAUAGGAGGGGAACAUGACAAUCAUAGAUGACAUUAAGUCUGGUUGGAGUCUUUCUACUAAGUGCAUCUGCCACUGCAUUUGCACGACCAUGAUGAUACUCAAUCGGGCAAUCAUAGUCACUAAGUAACUUAAUCCACCUCCGCUGUCGAAGAUUAAGAUCUCUCUGAGUAAACAAAUCCUGAAGACUCUUAUGAUCUGUGAAGAUCUUACAUUUCUCUCCAUAAAGAUAAUGUCUCCAAAUCUUCAAGGCAAAGAUGAUAGCUGCUAACUCCAAAUCAUGUGUAGGGUAAUUAUUUUCAUGAGGUUUCAACUGUCUCGAAGCAUAAGCAAUUACCCUACCAUGUUGCAUCAAUACACAACCCAAACCAUUCAGAGAAGCAUCACUAUAAACCUCAUAAUUACCGCUAUCAUCUGGAAGUGCUAGAACAGGUGCAUGAGUGAGAUAGUACUUCAACUGCUGAAAACUUUGCUUACAUUUAUUAUCCCACUCAAACUUAACAUCCUUUCGAGUCAUCCUCUUCAAUGGCAGAGCAAUCACUGAAAAAUCCUUAAUGAACCAUCUAUAAUAGCCUGCUAAGCCAAGAAAACUCCGUACCUCGAUGACGGUUCGAGGUUGCUCCCAAUUCUCCACAGCUGCAACUUUAUGAGAAUCCACUUGAAUGCCUUGAGCAGAAAUGACAUGUCCCAAAAAUGCCACUUGAUUCAACCAGAAUUCACAUUUGCUAAACUUAGCAUAUAGUUGGUGUUCCCUUAAACUGCUCAACACCAACUUCAAAUGUCUAGCAUGCUCAGCCUUAGAUUUAGAGUAUACCAGAAUAUCGUCAACGAAGACAAUAACAAACUUGUCCAAAUAUGGCUGGAAUACUCAAUUCAUCAAAUCCAUAAAAGCUGCUGGUGCAUUAGUUAACCCGAAUGGCAUCACAAGAAACUCAUAAUGACCAUAUCGAGUCUUAAAUGCGGUUUUAGGGACAUCCUCAUUUUUAAUCUUCAACUAGUAGUAACCCGACCUCAAGUCAAUCUUAGAAAAUACACAGGCACCUCUGAGUUGAUCAAACAAAUCAUAUAUAUGAGGCAAUGGAUAACGGUUUUUAAUGGUUACCCGAUUCAAUUGCCUGUAAUCAAUGCACAACCUUAAAGUUCCAUCUUUCUUCCUCACAAAUAAAACUGGAGCUCCACAAGGUGAAGUACUAGGCUGAAUAAAACCUUUAUCCACUAACUCUUGCAACUGCACUUUCAAUUCUCUUAAUUCAGCAGGAGCCAUUUUGUAAGGAGCCAAAGAUAUAGGAUUUAUACCUGGAAGUAGAUCAAUAACAAACUCCACCUCUCUAUCUGGCGGCAAUCCAGGCAAAUCCUCAGGAAAUACAUCCGAAAAAUACCUGCUCAGGAAAUACAUCCGGAAAAUAUCUGACCACACGAACAUCCUCCACACUAUUAGGAGCAUCAUCAUUCAACACUACAUGAGCCAAAUAUCCUUGACAACAAUCUCUUUGCUUUCAUGGCUAAAAUAAUACCAUGCCUCACCCUACUAGGCUCUCCUAUAAAUGUAACUUCAGGUAAUCCAGGACAAUGAAAUGUGACUGUCUUUCCAUAACAAUCCAUCUUAGCACAAUUAUAGUGCAACCAAUCAGUGCCCAAAAUCACAUCGAAAUCCAUAAUAUCCAACGGCAUAAGAUUAACCGGCAUAAUAACAUCUUCUACUACCACUGGACAUCCCGGAUAUACCCGAUCCACAAAACAUCUAUCCCCUCUAAGCAUAGAAAACUCUAAAUCAUAUCCUAGAGGUGUAGGAUGGGGUUGUGUUGCUUGAGCAAAUGUAUAAGAAAUAACUGCAUGUGUAGCACCACAAUCAAUCAACACUCUAGCAAAGUGGCCAAGAAUAUUUAACGUACCCAUGAUUAAAUCUGGAUUAUUCUGGGCAUUUUGCAGUGACAUGUUGUGGAUACGCCCUUGACUCUGUUGUCGUCCACCGCGACCUCUGUUGGCGUGAAUACCACGUCCCUGCCUCUGCUGACCUGACUGCUUUGAAGAUCCUGCACUACUAGCGACAAUCUCUCCUUACUAGGGCUAUCCCCCUUGGUACCACAGAGAUCCACCGGUUGAAUGUGGUUGAUAAGACAUAGAUCCUCCCUGAUACUGAAGAUACCCACUCUGAUACUGAGGAUCCCGAGAGUACUGUUGUUGUCCUGAGGUGUAAGGAGCGGCGUCGCCCUGGUAAUGGUAGGCACUUCCUCAUCCAGUCUGAGUAUAACCACCGCUAGAAGAGCUGGAACUGCCACCACUCCUAUUAAACUUCUGAGUCUUGCAGGGUCCCUGAAAUGCUUGCCCUUUUCCUUUAUCAUCUCGUCUCUAGCCCCCAUUCUUUCCUUCCUCAUCCUCACUUUCACUAGGCAUGUUAUCUGAGGCCUUAAUCCUUAGUAGAAUAUCAUAGAACUCCUGGUAAGAGGCACAAUGAGUAGAUGUCGUUAUGGAACGCCAUUUCUUCUUAGUACCCAAACUGAAACGGCGAAGCAUCUCUAUUGGAUUAGCAGCAACCUCUAGGUCAUAUCUCGACAGAUCAAUAAACAUCCUGUAAUACUCAUUAGCAGACAUUUUUCCUUGCCUUAGAUGAGUAAACUCCUGUUUCUUAAGAUCAAAAUACGCAGAAGGAAUGAACCUUUUCCGAAACCGCUCAUUAAACAAACCCCAGUCCACAAUCUUUUCUGGGGUUAUCUCGUAAGACUCCUGUCUUUACCAGGAUGCAGGCUGUUAUCCCAAAAACCAGGUAGUUGUCUCGACUCACCUAUCAGGAGGAAGAUUCCUCUGACUCUGCAUCACCUGAAGGGUCUUCUCCACAUGAUUCAGCUAUUUUUCUGCACCCUCAUGACCUUCAUUUCCUAUGAAGUGAGUCAACUUCAUAUUAUGAACUGUCUCAAGAGGUGUCCUCUGAGGAGUACGGAAUGUUGUCUGAAUGGCAGAAACUAUAGCUUCCCCUAAUUGAGCAAUAUCAGGGAAACUAGAUUCAGCUGGAUGACGGGGCUCUCUACGAGGGGACAUAGUUCUGACAUAAAACAUCACAAGGAUUAGAACAUUCAAGAAUUAUACAAGACUGCUAACCUAAGCUUUGAUACCAAACUGACACACCCCGACCAAGGUCAAGGCAUGCUGGCCUUCAUGUGAGAGUGACGUAGCCAUGUGCACAGUGCGGAAGCGAUAAAGAUAGCAAAUAUACAAAUAAUUAAAAACCACAUUUCUAGAGUGCACUACUAACAGGAAGUGAUAAGAGUUAGUUACAACUGUAAACACUCAUAAUCAUAGUACCAGGAAUGUCCUACUAUUAAUCAAUUAGGUCAGAAUUGCAGACGAUCCCGAGCCACCAACAACAAGCUUACUUAGAACCUGGAAGGGCGCAAAACAGAAAACGUGAAGGGGCAAAAACAAAUGUUUUACAAAAUCAUUUCAUUUAUCAAUAUACUAACCCCUCGCUGUAAAACAUGUAUAAUUUUCCCAGAAUCAAGAUAUAAGCAAAUACAUAUAUAUAUUUGAAAUCAUAUUAAUUCAGUUCAUGCUUCACAUAAUCAUAUUCAUAUGUAUGUCAUGCCAAAAUAUAACAAAGUAAACAAUCCAGGUAAGAAUAAUUUCAUAGAACUAUGAUAUGUUAGCCGGAACUCCUAUGGUAGUCUGUAUGGCUGGAUUCAUAGCUCAAAUUCAAUCUAGCCGGAAUCUCUACUAUGAUCUAUACGGCAAUAUACUGCACAUAAGUCGGAACCACUAAAAAGGGGUCUGUACGACAAGAUCGGGUGAAAUAUAAUUAUGCUCAAUUCUAUUCUCUCAUAAUAGCCGGGCAAUAAAUCCCUAGUCACCUACGAGUCGGAACCAUAAUUAAGGUCUAUACGACAAGACUGUGCACUUAAGUUGGAUCCAAUAUGAGCAUAUAGUGUGGAAGGUGACGUAAAUAAACAAGCCUGUAAUUCUCAUCUCUGGCUAAAUCAUAACCACCCUAGGUGCAGUUUUAUGAGCUCAACAUUAUUUAAUCACAUAUCACAUCAUCGAUGAUUCACAUAACCAAACGUAACUCACCUGAACUUACCUGUGCCUCCACAGCACCACAUUUAUAUAUAUAUAUAUAUAUAUAUAUAUAUGCAACCAUGAAUGCAUAUUCAAAAUAUAAAAGAAUUUGGCAUUUUAUUUUUUAGCAUACUUUCUUUAAAAUGCAUUUCUGGGAAAUAUAUCAAGUAUAUAAAUAUAUACUGAAAACAAUAGCCCACUCACUGGUAUGUCGACUGGUCGUAACCCCCGAGUCGCCCGUGGAUACGUUUGUCCUCGGGAUAAGUCUCACCUAUAUGUGAAUUAACUAUAAAAACAUUAUUUUAAAGCACAUAGACAAAACUAGCUAAUAACUUCUCAUACAUUGCUCAAAAUGGGUAUAUGAAUAUACCACAGUGAUCUAAACAACCUUAGGAUCAUCCCCAUAUUUUUAGAAUUAUUUUUGGACCUCCCACGUGCCACCACGGGCCGGCAAUGACACGGCAAAACGUGCUGCCAAACCUGACGGAUUCCCUAACCACCGUUAGGGAAUAUUCCGUUAAACCUAACAGAUUUCAUUAAAAUUGACUGACGGCGUCAGCAUAUUCCGUCCAAACUGACGGAAUAUGCCAUCAUCUUCUCCGGCGAGUCACCGGUCGCCGGAAAACUAGGUAAAACUUUAAAACCCUUGUUCUUACUCAUUUUCACCAAAACUUAUGAAAUUUAAACUAAAAUGAAGCUAAGGACAAGUAGAAACACGAUAUAACAAUUUGGGUCCUUGAAAUUCACGAGAACACGUCUGAAGUUACCUCGACUUUCCGGCCAAAUUUAAAACAUGUCGAUCUCCACUUUCUGACGUCCAAAAUCCUCAAACAAACUAUCCCUAGCCUCCUAGGGACCUCACAAAGCUUCCUAUAAACUUCAAAUUCUAUAAAAACAAGCCAUAAGUUUUUGCAUGAACAGUACCUCAUUUGGGGUUAGGGUUUUCACGUGAUUUCGAAGUAGUUCUUACCUGUAAAUGGUAUGGAUGUGUUCGUCUGAGCUUCACGAACACAAUGGUGCCAUUUUCCACUUUGAUCCGUCGCAUUUGCAAAGGUUUUGGUUGACAUCCGUACAAGUUCGAAGGAGAGAGAGAUUGAGAGUCCGAGAGAGAUGAGAGGGUACGGGGAGAGAGAAGAGAGGGAAUGUGUGUGUGGCCUAGGAUCGUCAACCACCAAAAAGUACCAUAACUUAAUCCUAAUUGGUUCCAAACAAUUAGGAUUUAAGAAUAUUAACCCAAAACUAUACUUAAACCACAUUACACAACUACGUUCAAGGGUAUUUUCGUCAAUUCACGCCGUCGAUAAAUAUAUAUAUUUGGGACGGGCUAUGACAAUAUUAACUAUAUAGUAAUUCAUAACUCAAUUGAAAAAUUACAAAUCCAAAGUGAUCAUAAUUCUUUGUAUCAUCUUAGGAAUAAAUCCGGCAAUUUGUUCAGUGACACUCACUGCAUAUACAUAAUCAUAUGUAUGCUAAUUCUCCAAUGAAAACACUUUAGCAUCUUACAAUCCGUCAAUAAAUCGUGACUACUAGCUUCAUAUCUAUCCCAAAAGUAAUCCAUAGACCUAUUCAAACCUAAACUUCCUUCGUAAUUACUUGCUCUUACAUCAAAGUAUACGAGUAACAAAAUCCAAGUGUUCAUAACAUCUUCAUUUCUAAAAUAAUCAUUCCAACAUCCCACGUAGCUAGCUUAUUAUAAAAUCCUUCUUAUUCAUCCACUACUCAGGAUCAAAACAACACCAGAAAUUACAAAACUCUAUAUUGCAUCAAAUUCUCGUCUCAUUCAAUUUUGAACUCUAAGACUGAUUCUAAUCCCUCAACUAACGAAAAUUUUUCUCGAGAAAUUCCUUUUCUAGAAUUUGCUUGAACACUUCCUAUUUCUUUCAUUGUUCAUAGUCAAAUGAGUUGAGUACGCACUGACUUCUCCAGUUUAUUCUUACUUCAUCCAGGGUAAGUAUGACCACUUUCCUCUUACUCAAGUCUACAUUUCAAGUUCUGUCAUCCUUUAGUUACUCCUGAACCACUUUCAACUGAGAAAUUCAUCUUAAAGUUAUAUGCAUGCAUUGCUUAACUUCCAUCCUUUUCAUUUUUGGAUCAAACUGAAUUUCCUUUCUCAAAAGAUCCACAUAUAAAUUCAUUUGCCAAGAUCACAUGCAAAAACUGACUUCACAUUCAAGCCUAUUUCAUACACUCUACAUAACACUAGAGGCCAACAAUAUCCUUACUUCCAAAACUCUAUCUCAUAGACACUUCUAAAUUCAAACUUAUUUGGCUCAUGCUAAUCUUCUCCCAAAGUUCUUAUCCAAGGGUGUCUAAUACCUAUGCUUUGAUACCAUUCUAUCAUGCCCCGAACCCAGGGUCGGUAAUAAAAACUCGAACCCAAAUCCGAAACGUGAGUUAAAAGCUCAACAAAUAAAAAGAAAUUGACACAGGUUGAAAAAAAUGAACUUCUCUUAUUAAAAUAAUUCAUGAUUCUUAAACAAAUCAAGAAUUCUUUACAACCUAUAGUAAAUAAAUGAAUAAACUUUCUCUACUCCCAUUUAAUCUGAUCUCAUCUUGCCUACCCUCUUGAAUGUCUACUUCGUAAACGUGCAUAACAAUAGAGGGAUGAGCUUUAAUAGCUCUGUAGGGACAUAACCUUAUCACAAUAAAUUGACAAUAUUAAAUUAAGUGUCAUGAAAUCAUAUAGCCAAAUAUCAAAUCAUUAUUGAUAAUAAUGCAUGAAUGCAAUGCAACCUCUUCAACUACCCCAGUUAAUUUAUAUAAUAAAAUACGUGGACUUGAAAGUCCCAUACCAUGCAUUUUACCCCUACAGAGGUGGUUCGAAUAUUCUAUUAUAGAAACUAACCCCCAUAUGAUAUCCCAAGUUCAUAAACCCCUUUUGCUAGUCAUCUAAUCUAAUUCAUUGAUCUCCAGCCCAAAUCACCCACAUCGACAAAUCCUGUCGAUAUCCUAUUCUAUUGUGCACAUCAGGUUUGCCUGGAACUAGUUUCACAAUGAAUAGAUUCAACUACACAAAAGAUCUUUUCCAACUACCUUCAUUUCCAUACUUCCAAUCUGAAUACUGAAAUUCCCACCACAUAAACAUGGAUGAUGCACAAUUAAUAUCAAUUUAUCUUCCACAUGUAUCAUAGUAUAUUCUCAACAAAUAGCAUUCCAGCAAUAAUUCCAUAUCCAAUAACAAGUAAACACUUAACUGAAACAAUUAGCCAAUUAAUAUUCAAUCACAUUAAUCAACCAAAAAGAUCAAGAAUAUUAUAGCACUUCAUGAAAUUUAAUAAAAUCAAUUUCCGUAAAGGUCUACCUUAUUUCCCCUACCUGGAUUCCAAAGCUAAAGUAAAGAUCCACCUCACUACCGGAAUAGUUAAGCUUCAUGUACUUAUCCACGUCACUACCGAAAAUAGUUAAGUUCCACGUACUUAAGGAAGCUCCCUGAUCGCUCCUAACACCAUAUAUUUCUUCUACUUUCUUUUAUUUUCUAAUCUCUCUCUAUAUGUAUGUGCGUAGGUAUGCAUACAAGUAUAUGCAUACAUAUAUAUCAUAUAAUAUGCAUACAAACAUAUUGUUAUAAAUAUAUAUAAACACUUAUAUAUAUGCACACAUGAGCUGCAGAGCAUGCAUUGCAUGCUAGCUCUCCCUCGAAAACAAAUGUAGUAACAUGCCUUAGAGAAUUUGCUCAAUUCCUUACAAGAUACUCUCUAUUUUCGCACACAUUUUCUGACUACACACCCUACACUAGUAUAUGUGAGAAGAUUGAUGUAAACACGAAAGACUAGGACUCACAUAUGUUAUAACAAAGAAAGCAAUUUUCUGGAGUUAGUAAGCAUGUUUAGAUAUGAUCUCAUGAAUGGAAUGCUACUACUUAGAUGCGAGAACCAGUGACACCAUAUGCUCAUACCAAUUUUGAACUCCACAAAUUGAAACACACAACACUCAAGAUUGAAGUCAAGGGUUGUAACAAGGCUUGGGGGGUAAUGGCUAAUAACGAAAGGAUAGGAAUAACAAACGUUCUUAAAGCGAUAGCAAGCAAAGCAAUGAAAUAGACACUUGGAAUUCACUUUAGAAUGCAGAAUCAACUUUUAAAUACAAAGGGAAGAUUCAUGCAACACUUAGGGCUCUUUUUCAUACUCAUUUCAAUUCUUUUUUUCUUUUCACUCUUUUUUUUUCUUUUCUACCCGUGCCUUAUUAAGGACUUUGGCACACACACACACACAAGAAUCACUUCCCCCACACUUGCUUUCUGCAAUACAUUGAUAAAAAAAGAGUUCAUUUUAAGUCAUGCUUUACUAUGCUUCAAGAAUAAGGGUAUGGAUGGUCCUAAAACUAGGCUAGGUAAGGAUAGUGUGGGUUAACAAAGAACAUAGGCUUAACAAGGUUCAACGGGGUUAAACUAAACACAUAAUGAAAUAGGGGCACGGCAAUUUGGCUUUGGUGGUCACUACACAACUUCAUCUUGAAUAUGUGUUAUGCAAAUCAAUAGCAUGCUUUGAAUGAAAUAGGCAUGAGUUCUAGCAUUUGGAACUAAAUGAUGAAACGUCUUCUAAGUAGCAACCAAGCAAAGAAUAAUGAGAUCAUGCAACAACUUUAGAAAACAAUGGUACACAGAUUAUUAACUCUCCAAAUAAACGUUUAGGCUCAAGUCUCACAAGGUUGUAGCAUUCAUUUGAGUUCCUUCCUUCAAGCAUGUUACAAAAACUGAUUUUUCCUUUAUGAUUGCAUGUGAAUUCAUAAAUUAUAACCACAACCAAGCAUACACCAAAGAGUAAAUCAAAUUUUCAUCCAUGUUUAUAACUCUCUUUAACAGUCAUGUAAUUAAAAACAAAAUCCUCAUCAUUGUGUUGGAAGGUACCCUAAGACACAAAUAAACACACAAAAACAACUCUUUUUGGGUUUUUCAAAACAAUUUUUCAAAUUUUUAUGAGAUUUUCGGAUUUUUAUGUCAAAACACACAAAAACACUCCAAAAUAGCUUAAAACACUUAAAAACAGCAAGGAACAACACUAGAAGUAAUGGGUGAUAAACUCCUAGAAAUUUCAUGCAAAACAACUUGGUUACCCCCCCCCCCACACACUUAAAUCAAACAUUGUUCUCAAUGUUUCAAGCAUAAACUCACACAAAAACACGCAAACAAACAAACAACGAAUAAACAUGACCAGUAUGGCAAAGUAAAAACCAAAUAGAGUAGAGUUCAAGAACGCAAAUCUGGUUUUGGAGAUAGAUGAUCUUGUUGACUUUCCACAGCUUUGAUCUCAAACUGGUUUGGAAUUCUGAGUGAGGGAUAUUAGAGUUCCUUGGUUGUGCAGUCUGCAUUCUUCUCUGCUUGUUUCUUCUGCACGGCAGGCAGGCAGGCACGAGGUAGAGGUGAUGGUCUGUUUCUUUCUUCAAUCUUUCCAAGUGCCCACCAUUUGCUUUCUUUCUCCUUAUCCCUAGCUGAGGAUGAAUUAGCACAUUGUCUCCACAUGCUUCGAGGUAUCAUUUUCACUUCCCUUAUCUGUUCCCCAGGCAGAUGUGGUAGACGAAGAGGAAGCAUAAGAUGUUGAAGAUGAGUACUCGAGAGCAAGGCUAGGUAAGCAAUCAGGAAGGGGUUCCAGGCAGUCGGUUCCAGAUCGAAAGAUUGAUACCAAGUGCUGGUUGAUUGCUUUCUUUCUCCUUGUCCCGCAGAUGAAAACAACGACAAGGAGAAGGACAGGGAGAAAGCAUGAUAUGAGAUACUCUUGCUUUCAACCUUCAUGAUAUGAAAUACUUUUGCUUUAGAUGAGUUGUUUGCAGAGGUACCCCAAGGAAUAAGGAACACUGAGUGACUCGAGAGGCUUCGUUGGGAAGGCAUUCUCGGAGAUGAAGAAAGGUUAUGUAUGUCUACCUUGCAUUGGAGGGUGAAGGUUGACAUUUAUAGGAAUUAAUAACCAAUACUAUUUUUUCACUCUUGUCCGCAACCGUUGGCUGAUUUAACAGUAAACUUCACGUGCUUUCUACUUCACAAGAAAUCUUCGACAGAUUGCCCAUAAUUUCCGCAAGGCUGAGUGUGCAUAUGACAGGCGCUGACACGUCUGGAAAAGCAAGUGCCUCUUCGAUAUCUGGAAUCGGCGCUUCGACAAACUGCCCGUGAUUUCUGCAAAGCUGAGUGUGCAUGUGAGAGAUGCUGACACGUCUGGAAAAGCAAGUGCCUCUUCGAUAUCUGGAAUCGAUGCUUCGACAAACUGCCCGUGAUUUUCGCAAAGCUGAGUGUGCAUGUGACAGAAGCUGACACAUCUGGAAAAGCAGAUGCCUCUCCGAUUUCUGAGCUUGCCUCUUUGAGUUCUGAGCUUCGUCGAGUGCAGAGGUUGCAUAUGACAAGUGUGGACAAAUCUGAAAAAGAAGAUUGGCCCGUGGUUUAUAAGCAAGCCCAGCUUUUGAGAAAGUUAGCGCUUCUUCGAUUUUUGAAUUGGCCUAUUCGAUUUCUGAGCUCGCCUCUUCGAUCUUUAAAAUCCCAUCGAGUACUGGUUUUUAUAGAGGCGCACAGUACGUUUCAAAGCACACUUGAAUUUCUGCUUGUAGAAACUCCCUUCUUGCACUUCUACGAUCUUGACUUGUCCAACCUCUUCUCUCUUCAACCCUUUUGAAAAUGUCUGGCCCCUCCGACCGUCGUUUUGACUUGAACCUUGGUGAAAAGGCAGACAUGCCUUCUCCAAACAACAUAAGGCGCCCAUCUUUCAUAUCCUUUACCGGUCCUCUUACCGUUGGGGAUUCGGUGAUGAAGAAUGAUAUGACCGCUGCGGUGGUGGCCCAGAACCUUGUCACUCCCAAAGAUAACUGACUACUUUCCAAACGGUCUGAUGAGUUGGCUGUUAAGGAUUCUCUGGCUCUUAGUGUGCAGUGUGCAGGUUCUGUGUCUAAUAUGGCCCAAUGCCUAUUUGCUCGAACCUGUCAAGUUGAAUCGUUGGCGGCUAAAGUGAUAAGUCUCAAACAGGAAAUUAGAGGGCUCAAGCAUGAGAAUAAACAAUUGCACAAGUUCACACAUAACUAUGCUACAAACAUGAAGAGGAAGAUUGACCAGAUGCAGGAAUUUGAUGGUCAGAUUUUACUUGAUCAUCAAAGGUUUGUGGGUUUGUUCCAACAUCAUUUGCCUUCGUCUUCUAGGGCUGUACCGCGUAAUGAAGCUCCAAAUGAUCAACCUCUGAUGCCUUCUUCUUCUGGGGCUCCGCCGACUGCUGAGGCUCCACCGACUACUGAGACUUCUCCUAAGCAGCCUUUGUGAAGGCUUCCUCUUGUAUUUUCUGCUUAAUGUUCCUUUUUUCUUUUCAUGAAAAUUAAUGUAAAAAUACUUCGCAUAUCUGUCAAUGUUUCAAAAAUAAACACACACCCAAAAAUAAUUAAACAACAAAAAUAAAAAUGACAAUCAAAAUAUAAAAAUGUAGAAAAGGGAAGGUUUUUAGAAAUGCAAAACUGAUUGUGGAGCGAUUCAAAAAUCUUCCUCAUUUGAAUACAUGGGUUGCUUCCCAAGAAGCGCUUGCUUUAACAUCUUCCAGCCAGACGAAACUUCCUUCUAAGUUUGGAUAGGGCCCAUAGCAUGGAAUUGAUCCUUGAAUGGAAGGUGAUACUUGACGUGAUUCGGCAAUGGUUUAAAUUCUAAUGUAGGUGCCUGAAUCAUCAAAAUCAGCAAGUUAGUAUAAAAUAAAAUCAAAGUUGGAGAAGAUGGCUUACUUGCUUGCUCCGACACAAACUCAAUUAUGAACACCACAUCUUUGAAGGUUACAGGGAUAUGGGAUUUGGCCAGAUUUGGUGUUUUGAGAGUUAUGAUUUGUCCCGUGUCAUAAAAUCCAACUUCUUUGGGAUUUUUCGUCUCAAGUGUAUCUUCUUUGAUGAAUUCUAGACAUUUCCCAUCCACUUCUUGCUCUUGAUUCUUUGGAAAGGUUUCGAAGAUGCCUUUCUCACCCUCUUCUUCCUUGGAUUGCUUGAUCCUGCAAGGAAUAAGGACAUUUGGUGAAAUGGGGUCAAGACGAAUUGAAUUUAGGCUUACCUUGGUUGUAGUGGACGGCAUAUAGGGCAUAUGGGGUUGCGGCAAGGGUGGUUCCUCCCUUACUGUGGCCUUGUUAUUCUCCCCUUCUUUGAGCAUCAGCUGUUCAUCCAUGUUUUGGCUUGGUUUGGAUGUCUUGGGUUCACCUCCAACCUCCAUAGCACUUCCUAAAGUGAUAGCAUCAUGGAUUUCAAAAUCUUCCUUCAAAUUUUCAAUAGUUGAGUUGGAGAGUUCACUUUGCUCUUGAAUUUGUGUCGUGAACUCCAUAAUCUCUCCAAGUUGAUUUUUCAAUUCGCUCAUCUCCUUAGCUUGAUUGAGCAUUGUUUCAUUUUUAUUUUGCUGCCCCUGCACCAAAGAGGUUAGUAAUUGAAAAUUUUGAUCACUAUCCGUGGGCAUACUUGAAUUUGAUUGGAAUUGUUGUAGGGGAAGCUGUGGUGGCUGCAUAGGUGUUAAAUAAAACUCAUCAGAUUGCUGCCAAUAUCCAUCUUGUUGAGCCUCAUUGGUUUGAUUUUGUGAGCCCUGCACCAAAGAAUUUAUUUCAUCAAAAAUUCGAUCAUAAUCUAUUGACAAACCUGAGUUUGAUUGAGCAUAUUGUAUAUGAGGUUGUGAUGGCUACAUAGGUCUUGAAUGGAAUUCCUCUUCUUGCUGCCAAUAUCCAUCUUGUUGGAAUUGUUGAGGUUCUAUGUAAUAUGAAUAAUCUCUCCAAUCCGAAUUGUAAGCGUUGGAAAACAUGUUGUCCCAUGAUUGGCUAUGGCCUUGAUAACCCCAAGCAUCUUCAUUCGCAGCGAAUUGAGAAUAUUACUGAGUUGGAUAUCCUUGCCCAUAUGACACACCACAUGUAGGGACACUUUGCAUUGUGGUCCUUUCGGCAUAUUGUGACAAUUGAGAAGUAAGUUCCUCCAAUUAAGCUUGAAUGGUAGCAAAAUCCAUGUCUUACUUCUCUAGUACUUGAAAUCAAGGAAACAAAACUAAAUCAAAUAUCAAAAGUAAAACAAACAAAAAAACACAAACAGAAACAAAGUCAGUAACUAAAAACAAAAGACACGAAAAUAAACAAAAAGAAAUAACAAGGGAUUAGCAAAGUUGCUAAUCCCCGGCAACGGCGCAAAAAACUUGAUGCGAAAAUUAUCUUAACACACAAAUUUAACCCUCUUUUGACAAUUGUAGUACAAGUAUAAGUAGGGAUCGUUCUGGACCGGGGAUUAGGAGGGCUUGCUAAUAACCUCUAAACUGACUCAAAAACAUAAAACUAAACUUAAAAAUACUUAACAAGACUCACAAGACUCAAAGCAAACUUUAAAAUACUCAAAACAGCUUAAAACAACUAAAUAAACUUAAACUAGACACUAGGAAUGACUUUGGAUGAAAAUUACUUUUACUUGAAUCAAAACAUUUAAAAACACAAAUUAAAAUAGAUUCUAACUAAUUAGACACACUAAAGUAAAGGGGGAUUGAGUUUUGGACGAAGUUGAAACAAACAAACAAGUAUGAAAAACUAGACAGAUUGUAAAACAAAUUUGAGAAAUAAGAUGAUGGAUGGGAUAGCUGGAGGUUUUUUCUCCACACAUGACAUGUAUGCAAAUAACUCGAUUUCCAGUUACUACUUUAUUGAAUUAUGAAUGACAAUGCCCCAAAUUAAUCGUGACAUCACUAGUUAACUCUCAAAUUUUCCUUGUUUUAUUGGAUUGGAUGACAUCAUUCGACAACCCAAAACAUUCUUCAAAAGUUCCCUACAUGACAUCAUAAGCAUUGACAAAGCACUUGCAACUAUGACAUCAUGUCACUCAUGCUAGGAAUUGAACUUAACGCGAUCGUUUAUAAGCGACCUUCUCUACAUGUGAAUAUAAGUUUGUAACGAUUAUGUGAAACUUCCUUAUAUUCUAGCAACGGAUUUAUGCAUGCCAAUUAAGUGUCGACCCUUAAUUAACAAAUACAAAUAAGUUAUCAAUCAAAUAGUUAAGCCAAUUGCAUUCACGAUUUAAGAGUUCAUAACUAGAAUUUAUCAAAUUAUAUUGCACACAUAAUCAUGGCUUUGAAAUCACCCCUAGCCAAGAGGGGUUUAGCCACUCAUAUUUACAAUAAAACGAAAGGAAAUGAAUUUAAACAUUAGAAACAAAAGAAAGAAAACACCUAAACGCUCCAACGAUCCAAGUUGGACAGCAAGCACGUCCAAGCACUUUCCUUCCCUUCCUUUGCUACGGCACAAGGUGUUGGUGAGUGUUUGAAGGUUUGUUUGUAUGGAGGAAUAGAUGUGAAGAUUAAUGGAUGUGUUUGGAUGAAGGUUGUGUUGAAAUGGGAGUGAAUGAUCUAACUAAGUAUGAACUAAAUUUAUGUUACACACAUUUCCUUUUAUAGAGGAAGUGCAUGGCAAUGGAGGAGAACAUGGAGUGGUGUAGCAAUUGAGUGCAAUGAUGCAAUGUAAUGAUGCAUGAAAUCUGAAAUGAUGGAGGGAAUAAGGAAUGGUGUAGCAAUUGAGUGCAAUGAUUCAAUGUAAUGAUGCAUGAAAUCUGAAAUGAUGGAGGGGACAAGGGUGAUUAUGCAUAGCAUGGGUGGAAAGGUGAGUAAGUGGUGAAUCAAUGAGUGCAAGGAGGUGAAAGGAUAUUGUGCACAUGGUAGACAAAGGAAAGGAAGUGGAAUGAUGCAACAAAUGAGUCAGUGGAGGGAACAUGGAUGAUGAUGCACGGCAUAGGAAUCCAAGGGGAGUGCAAUGGUGGUGCACGACAAUGAUGGAAAGGUGAAUGGUGGAGUGACACCCCUUUGUGGCUGGGCUCUUUGUCCUUUUUACAUUAAUUCUUCUUUCUCUUUAACACAUUCCUAGCCUCUUUAGUCUUCAAUUUCGUCCAUCCACCUUGCUCCAUGCAUGUGUUAUUCAUUCCAAGCCCAAAACUGCUCCAAAAUGCACCAAAAUGCAUCUUAUUGCUUUAUAAGGCCUAUGGACCUACAAACACACGAAAAUAGCUUAAAAUACAUAAUUAACUAAGAAAUAACAACAUGAAUUCCUGAGAACAAGCUAAUUCAGUCACAUAAAUAUGCUCCUAUCAUAGGACAUAUCAACAUUAUCAUCUAUUCUUCUUAUAGCAUACUAGCCUUCAUGCAUGCGCUCACGCGAGUGCAGAAGGAAUUUUUUUAAUCACGGCGUGCUACGCACAACUUACACGUUUUAAAUGUAUUUAUAUGCGUAAAUUGACAAAAGAAAAGUCAAAUAUUUGAACUAAAUGAAUAAUCUUAGAUCAUGCUAGAAGAAACCCCUCAUAAACCAAUUAAAGCAGCUGAAUUAACAUAAUAAAAUCGGUCUCUAUUGAAUUUAUAUUAAGAAUAGAGAAAAUAUUAUUUAAUAAACAACUGAUUGAAUCACAUUAUUGCUAGCCCAUUAUGAGGCUAAGUCCACCUCCUCCCCCUUAGUGUAGAUAAUAUCGUUUGUUAAAAAAAACAUUUGACAAUUAAUUUAAUCAUAUUAUUAUCCACGUAUGAAAUACCUUUUUUAUAACCGGCAUUAAACGCCUCUUAAGCUAUUUUGAACUUGUUUAAAAAUAGAGAAAAUAUUAUUUAAUGAACAACUGAUCAAAUCACAUUAUUGCUAGCCUAUUGUGAGGUACUAAUUAUUAAAAACAAAAAAAAAAAACUGUAAAAAUAAAAUUAAUUAUUAAAAAAAACACUAAUAAAAUGACAAAAAUACCCCUACCACAUUUGAUGCAUUAUUUUGGGUUGCUUUUGAAGUUUUUUGUUUGAUGGGCAUUUUUGUCCAAUUAUUUUUGGUAAGCUUGUGACACCAAAAAAACACUAUUCAUUGGGCCAUUGGCUUUAUAUAUAAAGAUGUAAUAAUAUACUAUAUGACUUGUAUUCUUAAUACCCAUAAAAUGUUUUUCUCCAAAAAAGUUAAUACAACAUUUCUCACUAAGAUUUGAGCUCAUUUGGUCUGUCUUCCCUUGGAGUGUAUGAAACUUUCUCACCUUCUGCGAAAAGCCUUCUUCUCAUUAUGCGAUUUUUUUCACUUCUCCAAAAACGUUUUGAAUUAGAAGACUCAUCGUCGAGGCAUCAGGACAUGAUCUCCUGAUCCUUCUACUCUUGCCUUUCUUGCUUCUUUUUCUGUCGCAUUUACUUCAUCUCUAGUCUUGUCUUACUCAUAUGUUAACCUGUCUCGUUCCAUAUUCAAUGCAUGUUGGUGAACUAAUUCAUCAACUAUUUUUGAAUAAUCAUUAUUCGGAGAACUCCCUCUUAUAGCUCUUUUCUUAGCAAUCUUCUUACCAAUAGGCCUCGGGUCACUUGGGUUUCUUGGGUCUCCAAUGUUGCCUCUAAUGGUGACACUUUAGUAGUUGACUCGUGCAAUGGAGUCUCGUUCAACUCAACUUGUGGACCAAUAGGCAGCGUUUGUACUUCAACAUAUGCUUCACAAUGUUCCAACAUCCGUGCCUUGUGAAUGAUUUCUUGUUAUCAAGAUUGAACCACAUUUGUGUAACAAAAGUAAAAAAAAUAAAAAUAUUAAUUACAUUUUAAUUUAAUAAUAAUAAUAUAACAGUAUCACAUGGGCUGGAUUAGUACCACUAGCAUAAAUUUCUUCCGCUUUUGCAAUGGCUUCUUACCAAACUUUCAAAUCUUUAUGUAGAUGUUUGUGCUUACUCGACAGAUAUUGCUUGGUCCAGGAUGUGGCUUGAAUUACCUCGAAAAAUUAUGCACGAAUGUUCUUCCACAUAUGUUUCGGUCUCAUCUCAUUUCCAAUGAUCGGAUCAUGCGUAAGACACACCCAACCCUCAAGCAAAGCAAGGUCUUCUGCGGUCAACCAUAUUGCCUUCUCACCCAUUUUUUCGGGGGAAAAAAAAAAGAAGCGAAUUUGGAAUGUAGAAAACAAAUAUAGUAGAUUGUAGUAGGAUUGAAUAUUGAGUUGUGAUGAAGAAAUGAAGAAGAUGGUUGGGUAUUUAUAAAACAACAAUAUAUAAGUAAUAAAAAAUAUCAUUUUUAAUUAAAAAAAUUCUAUUUUUUUUAACAUUUGGAUUAAUCGUGGCCAUUGAUUUUCAAAUUAAUCUAAAAUGCACGUACCAGAUUGUCUCACGUGUUGCAACGAUAACAUUUUAAAUUUGUUUACCAUCAGAAAUCCUACGGUCCAGAUCAUCUAACCGUUAGAAACCCAUAAAACUACUAAAAUACCCUCGACCUUUCAAAAUUCUUAAAAACUUCGUUUUAACUCCAAAUCCAAUUCCGCUCCCACCCACGCAUUCGUAGUGACGAGUACUACGUGAAUAUGCUAAAAGAAUAAUUCAUACGUGUCAUGACAUGAUAGCAAUGCAUGUCAACCAUUUCUCCACUAGGGGUAUUUUCAUAAUCUUACACCAUUAAUAAUAUAAAAACCGAUAAUUUUGGGAUGGCUUAUACAAUUUGGGCCGGCAAGUGGUUUGCCUUUGGUUUAUUGGACAGCUGGAGAGGAUUUUUUGGUUUGGAGGGCAACAUUGUUGUAUUUGCCCUUACCUUCCACCAAGUGGUGGAGAUGCUCUAAAAAACAAAUGAAUCCUAAAAAGCAUAUACAUUUUUCUAAGUUGUAACAUCCCACAUCGUCCAGGGGAGUGGAUCAUUUAUGCCUUAUAUGUAUAUUCCCAUCUCUACCUAGCACGAGACCUUUUGGGAGUUCACUGGCUUCGAGUUUCAUCGGAACUCUGAAGUUAAGCGAGUUCACGCAAGAGCAAUCCCAUGAUGGGUGAUCCACUGGGAAGUUCUCAUAUGAGUUCCCAGAAACAAAACCGUGAGGGCGUGGUCGAGGCCCAAAGCGGACAAUAUCGUGCUACGAUGGAGUCGAGCCUAGGAUGUGGUGGGGGCCCGGGUCGGGAUGUGAUAAUUUGGUAUUAGAGCCAAUCCCUGGCCGAAAGUGUGCCAACGAGGACGUCGGGCCCCCAAGGGGGGUGGAUUGUAACAUCCCACAUUGCCCAUGUGAAUGGAUCCUCUAUGCCUUAUAUGUAUAUUCUCAUCUCUACCUAGCAUGAGGCCUUUUAGGAGCUCACUGGCUUCGGGUUCUAUCGGCAUUCCGAAGUUAAGCGAGUUCACGCGAGAGCAAUCGCAUGAUGGGUGACCCACUGGGAAGUUCUCGUGUGAGUUCCCAGAAACAAAACCAUGAGCGUGGUCGGGACCCAAAGCAGACAGUAUCGUGCUACGGUGGAGUCAAGCCCGGAAUGUGGUAGGGGCAUGGGCCGAGUUGUGACAUAAGUACUCUCUACUUGUCAUGUUACAAAUAGCAUAAUAAUACUCCAAUAGCACGCAAUUACUGUACUUUAAAAUUUUCAAUAUUACCUUAGCCCCCGAAAGAAAAACUUCAAUAAAGUAGUCUGACUAUCUAGAUGUUCAUAUAAUCUCAUUUAUUUAGGUAUUAUUUCAGCACACGUAAGUACAAUUUUCUGAAAGUUACCUGACUGCCACAAUCAUUAGCUUGCUGUCAGAACUUUUAUGAAAAGAAAAAGACAAUUAUCCCGGGAGAUAUAUUCCUUCCUUUCGAUAUAUGACUAAUUAGUAAACAUUUUAUCCACCUUUGGCUAAAUAACUUUAAUUUUUAAAUUCUUUGAAAUAAAUAAAAUUUUGAACACACAAGAUUUUCAAGGACUUUUUAAAAGUCAUAAAAAGACUUUAUUCAAUAUAAGGUGACUUUUAUUGUCUUUUUAAAGACUAACGAGAAAUGAUAAGGAGAUUUUUUCAAAGUUGUACUUUCUAUGGACUCACUGUCACAUUACAGUUUACCUUUAAUUCUCGUGUCAACAUUGUAAAUAUCAGAAAACUAAAUCUUAAUAUACUUAGAUUUGAAAGUCAAACAAAGCCAUUAAACUCCAUAUACAAUACAACUCCUAAGAUUUUUUUAUUUUUUAUUUUUGGUAAAAGAGAGGAUUUUGUGACAAAAAAAAAGUGUAUUAUUAUUUAGACACACAUUUUUACUUCUCUUACACUCUUCUCAAAUUAUGAUCGUUGAAUUGAAUGAAUUAGAGAAAAUCAAUAACAAAAAAUUAACAAGUCUUUGAGUAAUAAAAUUUGGUAGGCUGAUAACACUACAAAAAAAUAGUGUGUAUAAAUGUAAAGAGUAAUGCUUGGUAGAUCAAAUUUCUAAAUUAUAUUUGUAAACAAAAUGAUGUGUUACUAAUAAGAAAUAAGCAUGUUAAUCAAAAUUAAAUAAUAAUCCAAUAAUCAACAACCACACUAUUUUGUUUACAAAAUUUAGUCUCUCUAACAUUAAAAACCGUGUAUGAAAAAUCUCCCCCCAUUAUCUUCCCUGUUUAGUUUGUGGGUUGGGGUGGGAUUAGAAGAGGGUAGAAACCGAAAGGGUUUCUCAUCUCCUCUUUCUCCUCGUUUUCCUUUGUAAAUGCCUUCAGACCAAUAACACCCGCAGUCCCUCUUCUUCCUCUUUGACCCGCCCAACACAGGACAAGAGAGACGAAGCAAGAGGAAUCCAAUUAAUCAUUACAACCUUCUUUUCUCUUCUAUUCUCUUCUUUUCUCUUCUUUUCUAGAGAGACAAGGGAGAGAGAAACCAGCUCUUAUCCUAUCCAUGGAAUCCUCAUCUUCUUCAGCUUCCAGCGAUGGCCUUAACCUCAAAGAAGGGUCAAUCGUUGAC